rnacentral:misc_RNA from 1 species
GACCUCUCAACCGCUUUGGUAUUCGAUUACAAAAGUUGGCUUGAAACUUGGGUGCCUCUGGCGAAACGCACAGGUCUUUGCGGACCUGUCGCCCACCCCAAAGUCAGUUGGGCCAACCGCGCGGAUGAGCGGACGGUUUGACCACAGUGUUGUAAGGUUCGCCUCACUGUCGGGACGUCCAUUUCCGUCGCUAUUAGGCAUUUGAGAUACGAUACUAUUGA